rnacentral:misc_RNA from 1 species
GCCCUGCGAAUUGUAGUCGGCAUUUAUGGUAAGUAAAUUCUAAUCUCAACACCCAAAUAUUAAGUUUGGUAUAUGCCCACGAAAGAUGACUCAGCGGUUAAGGAUUCAGUUCUUGAUGUAUUUCAUCUUGAAUUUGAAUCCCACUAACUAAUUGCUGUAAAAGUUCGUCGUGAGGGUGCAAUACCUAAGCUCUACUAUAAAUCCAUCCCCCUACGUCUAUACAUAGCUUUUCCUCCCUGAUAUGGGAUACCCUCCUACCCCUGAACGUUUUAUUACCAAAAGAAA